GAUGAACGCUGGCGGCGUGCUUAACACAUGCAAGUCGAACGAAGUGGAGUCUUCGGAACGAAACUUAGUGGCGGACGGGUGAGUAACGCGUGGGUAACCUGCCUCGUACAGGGGGAUAACAGUUAGAAAUGACUGCUAAUACCGCAUAUGCACACAGUACCGCAUGGUACAGGGUGGAAAGAUUUAUCGGUGUGAGAUGGACCCGCGUUGGAUUAGCUAGUUGGCAGGGUAACGGCCUACCAAGGCGACGAUCCAUAGCCGGCCUGAGAGGGUGAACGGCCACAUUGGGACUGAGACACGGCCCAAACUCCUACGGGAGGCAGCAGUGGGGAAUAUUGCACAAUGGGCGCAAGCCUGAUGCAGCGACGCCGCGUGAAGGAAGAAGUAUUUCGGUAUGUAAACUUCUAUCAGCAGGGAAGAAAAUGACGGUACCUGACUAAGAAGCCCCGGCUAACUACGUG
rnacentral:rRNA from 1 species